rnacentral:rRNA from 1 species
AUACGGAGGAUCCGAGCGUUAUCCGGAUUUAUUGGGUUUAAAGGGUGCGCAGGCGGCCAUUUAAGUCAGCGGUUAAAUCGUGGGGCUCAACCCCAUUAAGCCGCCGAAACUGGAAGAAUUGAGUGAAGGAGAGGAAUGUGGAAUUCUCAGUGUAGCGGUGAAAUGCGUAGAUAUUGAGAAGAACACCAGGAGUGAAGGCGGCUUUCUGGACUGUAACUGACACUGAUGCUCGAAAGUGCGGGUAUCAAACAGGAUUAGAUACCCUGGUAGUCCACACAGUAAACGAUGAAUACUCGCUGUUUGCGAUAUACAGUAAGCGGCCAAGCGAAAGCAUUAAGUAUUCCACCUGGGGAGUACGCCGGCAACGGUGAAACUCAAAGGAAUUGGCGGGG